rnacentral:rRNA from 1 species
UACGUAGGGGGCAAGCGUUGUCCGGAUUUAUUGGGCGUAAAGAGCGCGUAGGCGGCCCGGUAAGUCCGCUGUGAAAGUCGGGGGCUCAACCCUCGAAUGCCGGUGGAUACUGUCGGGCUAGAGUGCGGAAGAGGCGAGUGGAAUUCCUGGUGUAGCGGUGAAAUGCGCAGAUAUCAGGAGGAACACCGAUUGCGAAGGCAGCUCGCUGGGACGUAACUGACGCUGAGACGCGAAAGCGUGGGGAGCAAACAGG